rnacentral:misc_RNA from 1 species
ACAACACUGGGACUUCAUGGAAGGAACCUGUUGAUCGAACCAUCCGAAUCGAAGUGUGUUCAUCCAUAUCACAUUAUCAUUGUCACGGGGAGAUUCCCGCUUUGAUGGAUAAAGAAAGUCGAUAGAGUUCAGAAAUUCCAAUUUCUAAGAUUGAAGAUGGGUUUGGCCAAACAUCUCCUGAGAGUCUUUGUUGACACUACCGUCAUUUUGGGUGUCAUCCUCUUCAUUCCAGGUUUCCCACCCUACAAUAGCUUGGAGCCUUUCACAGCUCCUCCGCCUUUAGCAUUUGAGGGGGCACUUGAUCCAAAAGACUAUGCUCUUGCUAAAGCAGAGAAACUGUUUGAAGGGGAAAUUGUGGGACCUGAAUGUCUUGAAGUAUCACCAGUUGAACCAGAUGUAUUUUACACCACUCUUCAAGGAGGUGCUAUUGUUAAAAUUUCUGAAAAUGGUAAAAAAAUGAAAGCUGUUGCCAAGUUUGGUGAGAAAUGUGAUGGAAAUUGGGAUGGAAAGAACUGUGGGCGACCUUUGGGAAUUCACUUCAAUGACAAAGGACAGAUGAUUGCAGCAGAUUCAUAUUUAGGAAUAUAUCAAAUUGACUUUGAAUCAGGACAAGUUUCAAACCUUGUAAACAAAGAUACUGAAGUAGAUGGAAAACUUGCAAAAACAUUCAACAGUGUGGCUCCUGCCAGAAAUGGGAAGAUUUAUUACACUGUGUCUAGUAUAAACUAUCAUUUAGAUGAAUCUGUGGGUGAAAUGCUUGGAGCUCCUUCUGGACGCCUUAUAGUUUUUGAUCCCGAAACGAAUGAAAAUAAAGUCCUCCUAGAGAAUCUUCACUUCCCGAACGGCAUAGUUUUAUCACCGGACGAAGACUAUCUGAUCUUUGCAGAAUGUCUUCGAUUUAGACUCCACAAGUACUACAUUAAGGGUCCUAAAGCAGGCACUUCUGAGAUAUUUUUGGAUGGUAUACCUGGUUCUCCGGACAAUCUGAAUCUGAGUCCAGAUGGAAACAUUUUUGUCGCUUUAGUUACUGUACGGUUACCCGGUGAAUUUAACCCACUGGAAUUCAUGUACAGUCAACCAUUGUUGAGAAAGCUUGCAGUACGUCUUUUGCACCUUUUGAAAUUCCCAUUUGAUUUUGCCGCAAAAUACGUGGAUCUGCCCAUUCUUCGUAAAAUUUCUUCUCACAUAAUGAAUUUUGAAACCCUUUUGCCGGUCAUGCCACCUUACUCAAUGAUCAUCGAAGUGGACUGGAAUGGGAAAAUAGUAAAUUCUUGGCAUUCAAAUUUGUCUGACGUACGGUUCUUCAGCGACGCAAAGAUCAUUAAUGGUUACAUGUACUUGGGAUCCCCGUACAACGACUAUAUCGGCCGAAUUAAAAUGCCAGAUUCUAUUCACUUUGUUAAGCAACCCGUUUUCUCACUCGGCUAAAACGGAUUGUCUACUGCACUCACCCAGGUCUCAACAGUAGUAAUGGAUAGAUUUGCAUUUCAUCUUUUUGCAAGUUAAGCAGCUUAGAAACAAUAAUGAGGGCUUAGAACGGGAAAAAGAAAGAAAACAUGUGAUGUGAUGUCUCGCCGUACCUCGGUAGAGAAAACUAUAUUCAAUAAUCAUUUAAUUUGAAAUUGGUGAAUUUCUUCCGAAAUGUCGAUGCCUCCGACAUAGUGAACACGAGCGUGAAACAGUUAAACACUAAACAAUCGUCAUGGUAAAUCUAUGCUAAGGUGACUACUCUCUCUUUCUUAAAACCUGUCUAUCAAAUUAUCAUUAAAUAAAAUGGAUGUUGGUUGAAGCUAUGUACAGAAAGUGCGCAUCCACAGGCAAGCCUUCGAAAAGUGGGGCUGAUCGCAGUCAGCUUGUUGAAAAUGGCUGGAACUCUAGGCGGAUUUGACCAUCAGUAAAGGGCUGUUGCUGCACUGACUGCUUCCGCCUUCAUCCUUGUCUUGUGAGUCGGUCGAUCUCUCCGAUCCAUCAAAGGGCCAGCCGUUCGGCACAGUUUCCCUGUAGAAAGUAUCAGAUGAUUCGAAAACGAGAAACAGGAUGCGGAAAAUGGGUCAGAAGACUUACCUAUAACGAUGCAAAUACAAAUUGUACUGAUAGUCAAGAUUGGUGGAUUUGGGUCUCAAUUGAUUGACGGCCGUUAGCUUGACGGCUGCUGCUGCCAUGCUUUCCUCGUGUUGUUGGAGACGUUGGCACUGGCGGGCCACGCAGACAGCUAGAAUUGCCACGAUUAGGAUAAGUCCGGCUACCAGUGCCACGCAUACUAACACUACUGUCAGCAGCGCCGUGCCAUCCGCCAUUCCAUCUAGGUAUCAUAAAUGAUAUUUUGUUAGCGUUAAAAUGAAUUCUUCUUUUUUUUUUUGUUGAGCUGACUACUUCGUGGAAAAACGUGUUUCGCAUCAAUAAACGAAAGAAAUAUGACGGGAAAAAAGAAAAAUCCCAAGUCACUUGAGUAAACACAACUCACGACUCUGGGUUUUCUUUUCUGGUGUGGCUUUGUCUACGUACUACAUCACGUCAAAGGUAAGAAGAAAAAAAAAAUGCUUCCAGCCACGUAAAAAGAGAGAAGAAUCAACAAAAGUAAACGAAACUUGCUCUGGACGUGGGUAAAUCGUUAAAAGAGACACGAAAGAAAAAGAAAACAAAAAAAGAGCAAGGAACAGCCGAAAGCCGCCUAGUCACGCAUUAUGUUUCAUGAAAGGAGAAGCCCAUGGUCAAGUCUUAACUUGUUCAGUAAUAGUAUUAUGUGACAAGGCAUAUAUCAUAUACCUCGAGUCUCAUUGCGUUGUUGGUUGGACGAGCCACCAGUUGGCGUGGCCGAAGUGCGUGAGCUGUCAUCGCAUACUGGACAGCAUUGGCCCUGUGUGUGUGAAGGAGUGUUAAUGUCAAUGUUUACUUAGAGACAGCGAAUUUGGCAGACAAACAUCAUCUUACCGGAACGAAGAUGGCAUUGUGGCAAGGGAGCGGACAUGCCAUCUCUGUGCAUGUGGGUCCUCCAGGGUGACAGACGCAGUGGGUGCAGUCAUCCAUUUGCCAACGAUCACCGUAAUUGUAGGUAAGAUUGCCUCCGCCAGCUAAACACUUGCCGUUAGUGCUGCUGCUGACAGAAAACGAUGACGUCAUGGACGGUAGGCGCGUUGCCGCACCGCUGCCAAUCUGCGAGGGCAAGGUACUGCCGCCCGGACGACAGUGACAAGUGGGACAUCCUCGUCCGUCGUGAACAAGACCCAGUGCGCACUUUUUGUGACACGGUUGGAUGGAUUUACAGCGUUGACACUUGCAUACUGGGCAUCCACGCUCGUCGGUCUGGAAACCGUGCGCGCACAUCCGUUUGCACGCUACCUUGGGGCAAUUGAUGGCCUCGUUGGCUCCGGCCAUGACGAAGUCUCCAUCGGUUUCCUGCCCGUCCACUCCUUCCCCAUCCCCAUCCUGGUCUAUCACCUUCGUUUGAAUGGUCACCUGCAAAUCACGGAAAUCUUCGUCGGGCACCUUGCGACAUUCGCACAACUCUCGGCCGUUGGGGUCCACUGCCCGCCCGUAGAGGCACUGCAGGUGGCAGUCAUCUGUCACACGCAAAGUUACGUACAACUUUUUUAAUGGAUUUUCUUGAGGCUAUUUAUUAUGAUAUUAUACCGUCGCAGACUGGGCAGCAUUCUCCUGGAACUUUACGCGGCUGGAGACAUGGCGUCCGGCAGAAUGAAGCUUGGCACUUGGAUUGGCCGUCGCGACAAAUGCAAGUUGUACAAUCGUCUUCCAUCCAAGUUUCGUUGAGUGACAUCUUCCUACCGGACGGACUUACGCAGCCUUUGAUAAGUGUUUUGCGGUUAAGGAGAAGAAGAGAAAGAGACAGAAGAAACGGGAAUGGCGUGGCAUCCGUGAAAUGGGCGGAGACGUGAAGAUAAACGAUCGACCGCGACGACAGCCUUAAUGACGGUUGUGGCUACAUUAUUGUUUCACACAACUUUACAGCCACUCUUUAAAACCGAAAACCGAAAAGAAAAAGAAGAAGAAGAAAGAAAGAAAGGGGGUAACAAAAUGGAUUGACUUACCAAAGCAGACCGGACAACAUGCCCCGGGAAGUGUCACAAUGACGCCGCAUUGGCCGAGUUCGCGACAGAAAGAAACGCGCACGCAAAACGUCAGUCCCGAACUGCAGCGACAUUGUUGGCAGCCGUCCAGCGACGGCCAGGAAGAUCCGUCUUCAUAGGUCACACCGUCUACUGUACAGGAUUGUUGUUGCUGCGCCCGGCAACAGACAAGCCCUAUCGACCGUUGGAGAUGAGACGAGAUUAAGGAUCCAUUGUUGUGGGUUCAGAUGAAACAACCCGACCGGAGGCGUACGCAACAACAACGGAAACAACCGAGGCGCCAUUUUAAAAAGGAAAAAAAAAAAAGAGAAGAAAAAAAAUGUAUAUGCGCCGUGACUGCACGAUGCGACCUUGAACCAACCAACCGCCAAGGUUGGCGAUAUGCGCGCAAUUGCUGGAAGUGUUUCGACAAUAAUUCACGUUUACGAUCAUCUUUAAGACCCAAAGAGUUUCGUCGAGCUCUGCCAAGAUCCGAUGAAUUUUUCAUCACGUCGUCGUCUACACGGCCGCUGCUGCCUUCACGGCUUGUACUACUACCACUACUACUGCUGCUGCGUAUGGUCUUAAUAAUCUGCUGCAGCCAUCUCAAGGCCGGAAUCCGGGCGUGUUAGUAUAUCAGAGAUUACGACUGUCUCGAUAUUUUGCAACUCAAACGAGUCACGAAGCGAGCCAGAAAGCGUGUGUGUGUGGCUGCGUGUGUGUAGAUAGACUCUACGGCGGCGACGGGCUCCACUCCAAGACAACACGCCGGCGCCUGGUCUGCUGCCUGGCCUGGCUCUAUUGGGCAUUUGCAUACAUCCGUCACGAACUGGCCGACCCCAAUAUUCCCCGCCAUGGCCGUAUGGCAUCAAUCGAUCCGUGAAUCAACCGUAAAAGUUCGGAUGAACUGUGUGGGAGCGUGAACCGUCCGCGGCUGACGACUCGGCCCGACUGCCUUGCCCGUGGCGCGCACAACUUGUUUUUAUAAAAAGAAGACGGAGCAACAGGAGAAGAGAACGAACGAGAAAGAGAGAAGAAACGACGGCAAGUCACAAACAACAAAGAAAACUGGAAAAAUGUUAAAACCAAAAAAAAGAAGAAAUGAAACAAACAGCGCAGCUCCGAAGGCGAAACGUGUGCGCUGCCCGAAUCAAACUCCCGGGGUCUGCGUUGGUUGAAUAUCGCCCAAAGGCUAUAUUUAGCAGUUUGCGCAUAUGUGAUGAUAACGGACCUAAAGGGUUGCACGCGGUGCGAUGCCAGGAAGAAGAAGGAAAAAAAGAAGUCAGCGGAUGUUGUUGCGUGUUGCUUGCUCCGCUGAUGAUGCAGAUGAAAGCACCAGGAAAGAGUAUAGAGUGAAUCUUAACGUCUUUGCUCCGGUUACCUUCUGUUCUGUUUGUAAACUGACCACUGGAACGCUGGCAAUGAUGAUCAGCCUUUGAACAUCAGGAGCACUUGAACAGAUUCAUUCUAAAACCUUGUGACAUUUGACGUUCGCGAUCAGCAUCCGGGGACGGAAAACGAAGAAAUGUCGCUUGGUAAAAAUGAAAAGAAAUGAAGAACAGUUGUCCUACCAUUUUUGGUGUAGAUUGCACAUCCCUGACCAGAUGAAUCAUCGGCGUAUAGAGUAUACAUGUCGUCAUCCGGAUGACUCGCGUCGGCUAGGAUUUCGCGUUUCCCUCCCCAAAGGUGGGGUAUUGAAUGAAGAAGGAUUAUCUAGACGGGUCGCCGAGGAGAUGUUUUCAAAUAAAUCACGCGACAAUGUCAUGAAAUGGAGGGGAGAAAAACAAGAAAGAGCGAUACACACAUUGAGGGUUUCAAUGAUGUGGUGUUGGAGGACGAGAAAUCUGUGACGUCUCUUGUGUUUAGUUUCCAAAAGUCUAACUUUUUCGGGUUUCAAAUUCCGUUCCAGGCAUCGCGCACACACCCGCAGCAGUGAAUUAAAAGAAAUUUACGGUCGAGUGAAAAGAAUUAAAAGGAAAUAGUAACAGCCAAACACUCCCCACCUUUUUCUGGCUGGCCAAGUAUCCCAACAUGUGAUGCCGUCCUUCCGAACGGCCACCGCACAAUAACCGGAGAUGGGCAAUUCAUCAUCAGUUUGCGAUGUAUAAAUUAAAAUAACAAUCACGUCACAAUCCCUUUCUUGGUACUUUCAGCCACUUGACCAUUCGUGGCACACCCAAACAUUCCCUACCUUAUUUCCGACAGGAUUCCUUUCUUAUUUUGCGCGAAAACUCCACGGAGAAGGAUCUCUUUAUUCCUGGCUUUUCUGGCACUUGUUUUCAAUCUGAUAUCGCACUUGAAUGCCGUCAUCGCGGUCGCAAGCUGAGACGCGCACGCGCAAUCACGGACGCUCCUGCUCGGUACACGAUGGCGUCAUCGUUAUUACUCAGCUGACGGGAAUGAAGAGUAUCCCGAGAAGAGCAGAGACGCGGUCCAAUGUCUAAACAAUGUUAUCGCCAUCCUAAACCUUUUCAUUAAUGCACAAAAGAGAGGAUUCCUGGGCGUAAUAAAAAGGAAGCCACGAACAACAAAUUUCACUUUGUUGUUCUUGUUGGAAACACAUAACAAGAACAAUCUUCAUUUUUAACGAUGCAUUAAGGACAUUCUCUGCCUAGCUCCGAAAGAAGAAGAAAAAAACCUGAUCGUCAGGUUUAAUUUCCAUACAGUGUUAUGGAUGUGAUCCUUAAAAAAGAGAGGCCGAGCUUAGGGGUUCGUUCUUUUCUUACUGAAUUCUUGUUGGGCUAUUUGACUGUGAUGGAUCGUGUAGACUUUUCCCUUAUUUCUAUUCUCUCCUUACUUACUGCUGGAAUAAGAUGUGGCACUAAACUUUUUUGGUAGUUAUGUUUGGGGGAGAAGGGAAGAAAAAAACAACCUGGGCGGUUGGAUAGCGAGUUUGUGCGCUGUAAGUAUACACAUCACACGCAGUUGAUUUACAUCUCUUGUGUGUGUGUGUCGCGCUUCUCAUACCUGCUGGGAAUCAGCAUAUGAUGGGCUGUCGCGUGUCAAGUUUCACAGCUGGAUCACUUUAUAAAACAUAUUUUUUGUCCCCCUUCUUCUCCCCUUUUUUCUAGUUUUUUUCUGAAAAAGAAAAGCCAACUCCUUUUAUGGAGCAAGAGUGAUGGAAAAGUGAUGGUGACCGAGAGGGUAUAUAGAAGAAAAAGAAAAAUAAACGACAUACCAAAGUGCUCAACUACUUUACUUGUAGAUGGCGGACAGAACACUUGAUCCGGCUGUCUCUUUUUAUCGGUUGGAGUCUACAAGGUAAAUCAUAAAUUAUGGAAUGUUUUCUAUUCUAUUGUGGAACACAAGUGACAACCGAUAAAACUUCGAUUUUACUCUGCUUACAUCCAGUAUACACAAAGCAUUAAAUCGAGUUCCGAUAGAUGGAAUUCGUACAUCUCACGGCGUUGCCUGCGUGCAGCGUGACAGAAGUCGUGCUGUCAAUACAAACACUGCGUAUUUAUAUAAAAGGUGUAUACAUAAUACCAGUUCUGAGCCAGCUGUUGGCUACAAGUUUCAGCAAAUUCUACAUUUGUUAUUGUGGAACGAUUUUUUGAUUCCAUCCUUAACCUUGUUAACAAAAAAGGGAUACGAAACAGCAUCCAAGUCAGUGGGGAAAACUACCAACAACCGAAGACCUGUUGCUGCACCCUACGGUGGCAGCCGUGCACCUAAUUUUUCAUUUACCAUUUACCUUUUAGCUUUUACCGUUGUCAACAGUCAGUGAACUCAACGUAACCCAAAAUUCUAUUUUCUUAUUCAUAUAUAUGGAUUUAUCCGGAAAUUGGUAAGAAUGGAAUAUUUCCACAACUGACCCAGAAUUCUUUAAAUAAAACCUGUUGUCCUGCAUGUCCUGGUCUCAAAGCAUACAUGUAGUACAGUCCAAACUAUGAAACUACAAGUCUAGAACUACUAUUUCCUUGACUUUACACUGAAUUUUAGUUACACUUGAUGCCUUUUAAAACCGGGCAGUUUUUACGUUCUGUAGAAAUAUGUUCUUUUCUUGUUUAUUUAAUAAGUUUAGUAUGGAACGGCGGCAAAGGCCUUUUCCUUGUAACAUUUUCAUCUCACGCAUACCCACAACUGGAUAGCAGAUCAACUAUUAUGCUAAGCUUACCAAGUAUCAUAGCGCUCCACCAGAUGGUAGUGUAAUAAUUGUUUUGAAAAGUUUUGUCACAUUUUUGCGGUUAAAUUUUAUUUGUUUGACAAGUUUAUCUUUUAAAAGAAAGAAACCGAAAGAAUUUGAAAGUUGUCUGCUUGCAUCGGUAAAAAACGAGACAAGUAUGUGCUGUCGUUAAUAAUUAUUGCCCAAGACAAGUUCUGAGUUCAACAAAUAAGAUUACUCUGAAAAACUUUUCGAAACAAGAUGCAAGAAAUAAUUUGAAUGAGGUCCGUAGGUUGACACACCGAAAUCACAGUUGCAGAUCUUUUAACAAUCCAGAUGGGAAAACCAGAUGACGCUGCUGUGCCUCUACGAUGGCGAUUGCCAUUGAGUAACAAGUAAAAUCGGUGUGUAGCCUAAUGUUUCUUAAUUCUGUUUCGUUUCAAAGGAUUCUUCGUGAAAAAAAUUCCGGGUUUCCUUGUUAUCCCCUGCUGAAUCAGGAAUUUGUGGGCUAGCAAUGCAACAAGCCGUGCAAGAAAGUGCACGAAGGACGCCGAUGCUUAAAGGAGUCUUUUUUUCCAACUUGGUCAUAGGUUGCCUCGUCUUUCAACCACUGUUGUCAUCUACUUUGUAUUGCCAACCAUAAACCAUCAGUGUCCCAUGUAUCCAGACUUCAAAGCUGCUCUGCUUAGCCAACCAUCAUCCAUACUAUUCAGCUCUUCAUCAUGAGUUGUGAAACAUUCAUCUUCACAUUCCACCAUGACCAUUUCUCUACAUUGUCUUCUCCUCCCUUCUUACUACCCUGCCGAGUAGCAACAUGAGUAAGGUUCAUCACCAUCCUCUAACUAUGGUACACGAGGUUGCAGAAAAAUGUGUCGGGAAUGGCAAACAAAGCAUAGAGAAAACCGCAACAUUUUUCUGCAAUAUACCUGUACAACAGAUUCGCAAUUUAGACGUUUUCGUAAUAAUGCCGCGAUCAUAAUCAGCUCUUAUUCGAGGUGCCACCGUAUCUACGCCAAGGGUCCUUGUGAUCAUGGCCAAUGGCUUGAGCCGGAUACCAACGACUAUGGCAUCUGCCGCCCUUCGCCUUGCGAAAUUUGGUAUGCAGGAGGAAUAGCGGAGACGACUAAGAUGACAUUCCCAGUUUUGACUACUGAAGUAGAAACAGUUUUACAGAACCAUUCACAUGUUUUUGUCUCUAUUAUUUCUAUAUUUUGCAUCAAAUCCCAUUAGAGGUAAAAAGUACACAAUACGUUUGCUAAUUGA